UAGAGCUAUGACUGAGAAAGUGAUUGCUGACAGUUUGGGAUUAAUUCAGUGCCAGCUCCCCACAGUGAAGGGGGUUUUGGUGCUGAAUGUCAUCCAACAGAACUGGUUGAGAGGAGCUCAUGGUAGUGGUGUGCCUUCAUUGGUUGUGCAUGAUCUAAAGUUUUCAAGCUGAGACCU
rnacentral:snoRNA from 1 species